rnacentral:rRNA from 1 species
AAAACGACUCUCGGCAACGGAUAUCUCGGCUCUCGCAUCGAUGAAGAACGUAGCGAAAUGCGAUACUUGGUGUGAAUGGCAAGAAUCCCGUGAACCAUCGAGUCUUUGAACGCAAGUUGCGCCCCAAGCCUUCUGGCCGAGGGCACGUCUGCCUGGG